rnacentral:rRNA from 1 species
GAUGAACGCUGGCGGCGUGCCUAAUACAUGCAAGUCGAGCGAACGGACGAGAAGCUUGCUUCUCUGAUGUUAGCGGCGGACGGGUGAGUAACACGUGGAUAACCUACCUAUAAGACUGGGAUAACUUCGGGAAACCGGAGCUAAUACCGGAUAAUAUUUUGAACCGCAUGGUUCAAAAGUGAAAGACGGUCUUGCUGUCACUUAUAGAUGGAUCCGCGCUGCAUUAGCUAGUUGGUAAGGUAACGGCUUACCAAGGCAACGAUGCAUAGCCGACCUGAGAGGACGAUCAGCCACACUGGAACUGAGACACGGUCCAGACUCCUACGGGAGGCAGCAGUAGGGAAUCUUCCGCAAUGGGCGAAAGCCUGACGCAGCAACGCCGCGUGAGUGAUGAAGGUCUUCGGAUCGUAAAACACUUUUGUUAGGGACGAACAGAUGUGUGAGAAUAUGUGCACAUGUUGACGGUACCUGAACAGAAAGCACCGGCUAACUACGUG